GAUGAACGCUGGCGGCGUGCCUAAUACAUGCAAGUCGAGCGAAUGGAUUAAGAGCUUGCUCUUAUGAAGUUAGCGGCGGACGGGUGAGUAACACGUGGGUAACCUGCCCAUAAGACUGGGAUAACUCCGGGAAACCGGGGCUAAUACCGGAUAACAUUUUGAACCGCAUGGUUCGAAAUUGAAAGGCGGCUUCGGCUGUCACUGAUGGAUGGACUCGCGUCGCAUUAGCUAGUUGGUGAGGUAACGGCUCACCAAGGCAACGAUGCGUAGCCGACCUGAGAGGGUGAUCGGCCACACUGGGACUGAGACACGGCCCAGACUCCUACGGGAGGCAGCAGUAGGGAAUCUUCCGCAAUGGACGAAAGUCUGACGGAGCAACGCCGCGUGAGUGAUGAGGGCUUUCGGGUCGUAAAACUCUGUUGUUAGGGAAGAACAAGUGCUAGUUGAAUAAGCUGGCACCUUGACGGUACCUAACCAGAAAGCCACGGCUAACUACGUGCCAGCAGCCGCCGUAA
rnacentral:rRNA from 1 species